rnacentral:rRNA from 1 species
AUAUCAAUAAGCGGAGGAAAAGAAACUAACGAGGAUUCCCCUAGUAACUGCGAGUGAAGCGGGAAAAGCUCAAAUUUAAAAUCUGACGGUCCUUGGCCGUCCGAGUUGUAAUUUAGAGAAGCGUCUUCCGCGCCGAACCGUGCACAAGUCUCCUGGAAUGGAGCGUCAUAGAGGGUGAGAAUCCCGUCUUUGGCACGGAAUCCCUGGGGCUUCUGUGAUGCGCUCUCGAAGAGUCGAGUUGUUUGGGAAUGCAGCUCAAAAUGGGUGGUGAACUCCAUCUAAAGCUAAAUAUUGGCGAGAGACCGAUAGCGAACAAGUACCGUGAGGGAAAGAUGAAAAGCACUUUGGAAAGAGAGUGAAACAGUACGUGAAAUUGUUGAAAGGGAAACGCUUGAAGUCAGUCGCGUCGACCGAGACUCAGCCUCGCCCUCGGCUUGGUGUUCUUCUCGCCUGACGGGCCACCAUCAAUUUUGCCCCUCGGAUAUAUGGCAGGGAAAAGGUGGCACCUUUGCGGGUGUGUUAUAGUCUCUCGUCGCAUGCGAGGGGUGGGAUUGAGGAACUCAGCACGCGCCUCUCGGCUCGGGGCUUCGGCCCACGUUACGUGCUUAGGAUGUUGGCGUAAUGGCUCUAAACGA